GCUCAACCGGGGAGGGUCAUUGGAAACUGGGGAACUUGAGUGCAGAAGAGGAGAGUGGAAUUCCACGUGUAGCGGUGAAAUGCGUAGAGAUGUGGAGGAACACCAGUGGCGAAGGCGACUCUCUGGUCUGUAACUGACGCUGAGGCGCGAAAGCGUGGGGAGCGAACAGGAUUAGAUACCCUGGUAGUCCACGCCGUAAACGAUGAGUGCUAAGUGUUAGAGGGUUUCCGCCCUUUAGUGCUGCAGCAAACGCAUUAAGCACUCCGCCUGGGGAGUACGGUCGCAAGACUGAAACUCAAAGGAAUUGACGGGGGCCCGCACAAGCGGUGGAGCAUGUGGUUUAAUUCGAAGCAACGCGAAGAACCUUACCAGGUCUUGACAUCCUCUGACAACCCUAGAGAUAGGGCUUCCCCUUCGGGGGCAGAGUGACAGGUGGUGCAUGGUUGUCGUCAGCUCGUGUCGUGAGAUGUUGGGUUAAGUCCCGCAACGAGCGCAACCCUUGAUCUUAGUUGCCAGCAUUCAGUUGGGCACUCUAAGGUGACUGCCGGUGACAAACCGGAGGAAGGUGGGGAUGACGUCAAAUCAUCAUGCCCCUUAUGACCUGCGCUACACACGUGCUACAAUGGGCAGAACAAAG
rnacentral:rRNA from 1 species